AGAGUUGAUCUGGCUCAGGAUGAACGCUAGCGACAGGCUUAACACAUGCAAGUCGAGGGGCAGCAUAAAAGUAGCAAUACUUUGGUGGCGACCGGCGCACGGGUGAGUAACGCGUAUGCAACCUACCUAUCAGAGGGGAAUAACCCGGCGAAAGUCGGACUAAUACCGCAUAAAACAGGGGCACCGCAUGGUGAUAUUUGUUAAAGAAAUUCGCUGAUAGAUGGGCAUGCGUUCCAUUAGGUAGUUGGUGAGGUAACGGCUCACCAAGCCGACGAUGGAUAGGGGAACUGAGAGGUUGGUCCCCCACACUGGUACUGAGACACGGACCAGACUCCUACGGGAGGCAGCAGUGAGGAAUAUUGGUCAAUGGGCGGGAGCCUGAACCAGCCAAGUCGCGUGGAAAAGGAAGAAGGAUCUAUGGUUACGUAAACUUCUUUUGCGAGGGGAAUAAAGUGCAGGACGUGUCCUGUUUUGUAUGUACCCUGAGAAUAAGGAUCGGCUAACUCCGUGCCAGCAGCCGC
rnacentral:rRNA from 1 species